CAAAGGUUAUCUUUUAGGUCACGUAUAAAACUUUUUAUUAUGCUGGUGUAUGUUUUAUUUAUGUCAGCAAGAUAGAAUUUCGCUCAGCUCGUUUCGUAAUAAAUCAUCUAGGUUCCCAUCAGUUUGUUACUCUCCGGCGGUAUCAUGGGUUCCAGAUGACGCUUAAAUCUUGACUGACAGCCGUUUUACUUUCUCGGGCGUUUACCCCAUCUCAGCAAUCCAAAAAAUAUUCAUUUAUGAUUGGCUCUUGCAGCAACCGAUGUUUGUGUACAAAUUUUAGAUUGCCCUGGAUAGAACAGUUGGCGACUGGCCGCUGCCGUUAAGUUUUCAAAAUUGAACCUAGGAAUCCGCUGUUGCUUUUGCAAAAAGGCAGCACGGCCCUUCCUAGAUAAACGGCUUGUCAACUCAGGCCCAAUAUUUAGUCUUUCCAACAGGACUCUGUUGAAAUUUUAUUCCAUAAACUGUUUUGUUGUUUUUCAAUGAUCUGAUAGACAAUAGACCUAAAUAACAAAAAUGAAGCUUAGCCAUGUGCGGUGGGGCCUUUUAGGCCUGUUAGUUGUGAUAUGGACUGUGGAUGCUCAAUCUGAAGAUAAGUUACA
rnacentral:lncRNA from 1 species